GGCAUUUGGGAUCCACCACGAACAGUGAAACAGAGAUCCGUGCCCUCGGGGAGCUGACAGUCUGGCGAGGGGACAACAGUGAACAUCAAACAUGAUAACUAGGAUCCCACCCAGGAUUUAGUCGUCAUCUCUCCUUAGGCUUCUCUCGGCUGUGACAGUUUCAGAUCCUUCUUUCUGAUGACCUUGACAGUUUCGAGGAGCACUGAUCGGGUGUUUUGUAAAAUGUCCCUCCAUGUGGGUUUGUCUGAUGUUCUUCUCAAGAUCAGACUGUGCUCUGGGUUUUGGGGAGGAAGACCACAGAGGUAAAGUGCCAUUCUCGCCACAUCUCAUCAGAGGUGCAUGCUCUCAGCACGACUUACGGCUGGUGAUGUCGACCUUGAUCACCUGGCUGGGUGGGGUUUGCCAGGUUUCUCCACUGUAAAGGUACUUAUUACAGCAGCCCAGGACAAAGAUGACGGUGGCUGGGACCAGCGUAGCAGCAGAGAAGGUGGCGAGAAGCAGCUGGAUUCUACAUUAAUAAAACAUA